GUUUGGAAAGCUAACUGGAGGAUUCCCAUGAGCCAUCUGGGCAGAGCCUGAGGAAGGUGAUGCCCUCUCUACAGAGAUCCUACAUCUACAAAGAGUCAUCAUGCCAGCUGGGCUAAGUCACCCGGGGCCCUUUCCGCUGAUUCUCCAGGCGACUUUCUGACUACAUUUCUACAUCACAGGUUCCCCUCUGCUAACAUCUUCUUCAGGCUGAUAUGCAAGAUGCCUUACAAAGCACACUGUUGCUAAAGGUGUGACAUAUAGCCCCUAAAUCACGUUAUGUCCAUUUUCUUGAUAUAUCUUCUCUUCUUACUUGAAUCACCAUCACCACCAAUAACAAAUAAAAAAAUACAAAUAUUUAUCUCUUUUCAAGUCUUUAUAUCUUCAGAUUGCCUGCUUUACCACCUGGGGAAUUCCUACCUGGUUUCUGCAUCAAUCUGCGACAUUACCAGUGUUCUAACAUUCUGGCCCUUGGUGGAAGCAUACUUUGAGGGCUCAGCCCUCUCUGAGCAACAACACUGGAUUUGUGCGAGGCACCAGACCUCUCCAGGAACCUCUAAGAAGACAGUAACAGAUGUUCUCUGGAAAAGAAUACCCUCGCUGGGAAUUAAGUCACUUUUGGGACCAUGGUGAUGUAAUUCAACUCCCAAGGAAACCAUCUCUUCCAAUGGCUCUGUGACAAAGGGAUCUAAGCAGUGAGAUUGUAUCAGCAGCCAACCACAGCUCUGUGAAGACUAACAACAGAGGUGGCUGGAUUGUUAAAUGGAGUCAAAUUACUCAGAGGAGUUGCCCAGAAUCAAGCUCUGCUGAUAACUAAGGACACAAACAAGCAAACUGAAUCUUUCCAUCCAUGCUGGGCGCAGGCUGCCUCGCCAGGCUGAAAUUGGGUCCCUACUGAUGCGCAGGUCACACUGGCUCAGAGUGAAGAAUGUCUGGAUUACAAAGCGCCUCUGUGUCACACAACCAGAGAGUCAUGGACCGCACAUGGCUUUUGCUUUCCUUCAGAAGCCCACAGAGUGUGGUUUUAUUUCUAGAAACAACCCUAACCGAGACACUCAACUGUUAGCAUUCCAUAUGCAAGGACUCUUCUUCCAUAAAUAAUAUCCCUCUUAUUGCCAAGGGGUCAGAUUAUUAAGUUUUGUGGGUUUGUUUUUUUUUUUACAGGAAAUCCGCUUUCUUUGCACUUCAGGGAUGGCAUGAAUGGCAGGCCAACUCUAAGUCUUUCCCCAGAAGGUAACCAAACUUCCUGCAUUUCGCUACCACCCUCACGCUCUCGGAAUUCACCUGUCUUUUCUAGAUACCAGACCUAAUUUUCUGGAUUCCCAUUAAUAUCAAUUGUGAUAACUGCAAAUAAGAGGAAUAUUCCAAAAUCCUUUCUGCUUUCCCAUCUCCUAUCACCCACAAAUAAAACAUCGUGAAGCACUGAGAGAAAUCUCAAAAUUUCAUCUCUGCUGACCCGCCUGA
rnacentral:lncRNA from 1 species